AAUGAACGCUAGCGGCAGGCUUAAUACAUGCAAGUCGAGGGACAGCACAGGUAGCAAUACUGGGUGGUAACCGGCAAACGGGUGCGGAACACGUACACAACCUUCCUUUAAGUGGGGGAUAGCCCAGAGAAAUUUGGAUUAAUACCCCGUAAUAUAGUUGAAUGGCAUCAUUUGAUUAUUAUAGCUACGGCGCUUAAUGAUGGGUGUGCGGCUGAUUAGAUAGUUGGCGGGGUAACGGCCCACCAAGUCUACGAUCAGUAGCUGAUGUGAGAGAAUGAUCAGCCACACGGGCACUGCGACACGGGCCCGACUCCUACGGGAGGCAGCUGUAAGGAAUAUUGGUCAAUUGACGCAAGUCUUAACCAGCCAUGCCGCGUGAAGGAUUAAGGUCCUCUGGAUUGUAAACUUCUUUUAUUUGGGACGAAAAAGGGCCUUUCUAGGUCAACUGACGGUACCAGAUGAAUAAGCACCGGCUAACUCCGUGCCAGCAGCCGCCGUAAUAC
rnacentral:rRNA from 1 species